CAAGUCAGGUGGACCAUCAAGUAGACUGACGGCUAGGGAAGUACCUGCGGGUACUUCCUGCGGGUGCUCCUGGGGGUCAGGCAUUACUGGUGUUACUAUUAGAAGAAAUGAGCAGAUGCACAUUAGUCUUUAAUUCACUUUUUUAAUAGUAUAAACCUCAUUUAGGUAGUAGUAUUAAGCCACAACAAUAAUGCCACAUUGAGACAGCAUUUAAUAAAAUGCAUAAAAGCUAAUUCAUGCACUGCAAUACUCUAUAUACAAACACAACAAUGCAAAUUCUUCUUCAAGACUGAAGACACUGAUUAGAUAUAAAAUUCAGUUUAAAAAGAACAUGCUAUUUUUUAAAUGCCAUCACAUAAAGCUGAUUUCAAGCUCCAGCUUUCAACAGGUUUUAAACCUGGAAUUAAAAUGUAAUGGCAUGAACAGUAUUUUCUACAUUGUGAAGGGCAGAAGUUACAGAAACGGUCCCAAGAAAAUCUAACACCCGAAUUUUCCUUUAACAGAUGUCUUUUAAAAGGGCCGGUAAUGCAGCUACAUUUUAACGGAGAGGUCCAAACUACAGAGGUCGGGGUCGGUUUCUGUCAACAAAAACUUUGCUACCACGUACGCUAGCUUGGCCUCUUCAGUGGACGCAGACCACGGGGGCACAGCUGCUCUUCUGGACAAAGGGAAUCUCUGUGAGAACUACCGUCUGUGCACGACGUGAGCCUCGGAGGGAAUUACACAGCAACGAUUCCAAACCCUCAUGUUACAGAAGAACCACCCAAGGUUCCACCUGCAGUUUACCCAGCAAACACUGGAAUGGUCCAGUAUUCCUGCCCCUCCCACCUAGCACUUUCCACACACUGUUACCAUCCAUGAAAUGCAAGAACUAAAGUGUGAUCAAAAGGAGGCUUCACCGGGCUGCCAGACGUGGAAAGGCUGACAAUUUAUAUUUGUGACUACAGAUCCAGCUGCACCCCCUCCUGCCCCACAGCAAGAGUGUGUAUCUUUGCGCCUCACCGGUACGUGUCUUCCGAAUAGGUUUUCUGAACGUAGUCCUGCAAUUCCAUCUGUGCCUUUUCUUGGAAUUUUUCAAUCUGGCUUGUGCUGGUCAAACCUGGAUGGUCUAAAAAGAGAAAAGUACCCCUGAGUUGCCUUGUGUAUUGUGAAAGCCUCGCUUGCAGACUUCUUAGUAUUUUUAAUUAAGCCUCUGGCAAAUUUCUCAAGUACAAUGUAGAUUGAACUCUGAAGGUGGAUCUGGUUUGGAUAUUACUGUUAAAACAUUAGUUUUUGCUCUAUGCUCUGCCAAGGCCUGAGGGUUCCCGGGAGAGGGCUGGGCUCCUGAGUGGUCACACCAGCCUCACCAGCCCCACCUGGCUUGGUUUGGACAUCUGGCUUGGAACCAUCACAUGAGAUUAGAAAUUAUCAUUUACUUUCUAUGUAUUUAAUACAUAAUUUCUCCCAUUUUUAUUAGCUACUUUGUUGUUCAUGAGUGGAUGGCUGGGGAAGAAGGGAGGGAGUUAGCGGUGUCCAACCCUGCUAUCGAGUUCAGCAGUCAGCCUGAGUGACCUCUCUGGAGGCUCCGAGACAACAGCCGAGAGGGGGGCAGCGAGGCCAGCCGGACAGUCCUGCUGCCUCUUCUUUAGCUGCUGCUACUGUCCUCCAGGAACAGGUAAACUUGUGCAGUUUCAGUCUGUACUGGAGGACAUAUGCUAAUAUAAACUAAAAAUUGGCAAAAAGGAAAGCAAAACAAAUCAAAACGAACAAAAAAGGACAUUGGACAGUAGUGUACUACUCUGUUUUGUAUGCUGAAGUCUUGUUUGGCCAAUGGUUUAAAUUAGGAUACAGAAUAGAUCUAUUCAACAUAUGAAGUCAAAACAUCUGGAAGGCACUAUGGCAUAUGUCUUUGGGACUGUAAAAACAAUUUAAAAGAACGUUAUGUGUUUAUGUUAGCUAGCAAAGCACACCUUUUAGGAGAACAUUCUGUCACAUACAAUCUGGCAGGGCUCUCUGUACAUGGCUGACAGCGUGACAACACGUUCAUGUUCAGAAAUAUCAGUAGACAUAGGCGGAAAACUGUUGUGAGUCACCACCACAUAUCUUACCGGGGCUAAAGAGAACUAUAGCUUUAAGGUAUGCAUACUCAUAGCCGUCUAUAUCCAGCUUCGCCAUACUGUUACAGAAUUCCUGAAGCUUCCAGAUGUGCUCCAUGACUUGCUUUAUCCGGUCUCCAGAAAGUUUAUCUACAAAUCAACAUCACAGAUCCUCUGAGAAAGGCUGGUGAGAAUAACAACACAAGCUUCUUUGAGGAGCCACAAAGAGAAGAGAAAAUGAUUUCACUUUUUAAUGGAAAACCAUUUACCUUCAGAUGGUUAACAGCCUCAGUUUCCAGGUGAAGGAGAAGUGACAAUAGGUACCCAAAUUCCACUCUGCUAUGUAUGCUGUCUCAGUAAUAAUCCCCCAGACCAGCGAUUCUCCCUGGCCCCACGGUGGGCAGCAACUUUGGCCUAUAGGCACAAACUGGUAACUCCUUUUAUUCUGUGCUUAAGACCUAUAAGUCAAUUCUUAACAGUGGUCAGAUUUUCUAAGUCUCUGCAGGCAUUUAAUAAAUGUUUACGGAUAUGACCAUUAAAUGUCGACAUUUUUUAGUUGUGAAACAAUUUUGUGUGUUUUCCGAUUUAAUCUUCAUGGUAGUAUUUGCUGAAGGUAUUAGUAUUAUUACACUCAGUUAAAAAUAAAGGAAACCAAUCCUCAUUUGUGAACAAAUCUAACUUAAAAUCAACAAAAUGUUACAGGGUUAAAAAAAAAAAAAAUCAGCUUUACGUUACUAGUCCAAAGGAGUAACUAGAAAAACAAAGGUGUGACUAGGUAACUCGAAUCCCUAGAUAAUCAAACAUCUGGAAUGCCUAAUGAAAAGUGCAGCUCAACUGCAAUUCAGUAUCAGCUGUAGAUUUUUAGUGUCAGUGCUGAAUCCUAGGCGUGCUCCCUCAAGACUAUGUCUUUGAUACUAUGGACUUCCGGCAGGCAGAGGGCUAUCUGCACUGGCUAUCUCCUGUCCUGACAUGGCUGGGAUCUGACCACCAAAUGUUAGGUAGUUGCCACAAAUCUUUCUGGAAGAGAGUCACCUUCGCUCGUGAGCAGCAGCUGGGUAUGCAACUGUGUCCUGGACUAGGGGGUCUGCACGACCCUUGUCUGUGCCUGGCUCUUCUGCUUGCCGUUUCACUUGGGGCAAUCCAGGGACCUUACUGCGAUAAUAGUCUCUCUAGGAUUGUGAGAAUUUGUUAUAUGGGAAAGGGUAACCUGUUACGAGAUAAUAAAAAAAUCUGUCUGUUGGUCUCUGCCCCCAGUUUCUGGCACAGAGCUCCUGAAACCCUUGUUAAUUUCUAAGUGAUAAGAGCACUACCACGACAUCUUAUUCUAAUAUUUGUCUUUGACCCUGUUCCUGACAAAGAGCUCCUAAAACCCUUGUAAGCUCCUAUGUGUUAAGAGCACUAGGAUUCAUCUUUUGAGGUGAAUCUAUGGGGCCUGGCCCCUGGAAAGACUAAGGCAUGCCAAGAAACUUGGAAUUUCCAGCCCCGUCCCUCAUCCUCCAGAGUGGGGAGAGGAGCUAGACACGGAGUUAAUAAUUGAUCAUGCCCACAUGAGGAAGGAAGUCUCCAUCAUAAAAUCCCAAUAGUAUGGGGUUCAGAGAGCUUCCAAGUUGGUGAACACAUGCACACCAGAGGGUGAAGUACCCCAAGUCCACGGGGACAGAAACUCCUGUACUUGAGAUUCUCUCAGACCUCACCCUAUGUAUCUCUUCAUCUGGCUGUUCAUCUGUAUCCUUUAUCAUAUCCUUUUAAAAAGUGGUAAACUUAAGUGUCUCCUCAAGUUCUGUGAGUGACGCUAGUGAAUGAAUCCAACUUAAGGGCUGCUGCAACCUCUGAUCUACAGCAGGUUGGUCAGAAGCACAGGUGAUAGCCUGGACUUGUGUGUGUGUUUUGGGGACAGGGUCUUAUGGGACUGAGCCCUUAACACCCGUGGGAUCUGACGCUAUCUCUGGGUAGACAGUGUCAGAAUUGGUGUCACAGGGAAUUGCCUGUUGUGGGGAAACACCUCCACACAUUGGUGACUACAAGUUCCAGAACUGAAGUGCUUGGGGAGUCUGGGUGGAUCAGUUGGUAAAGUGUCCAAUUUCUGAUUUUGGCGCAGGUCAUGAUCUCAUGGUCGUGAGAUUGAGCCCUGCAUCGGGCUUCUCACUAAGCAUGGAGCCUGUUUGAGAUUUACUCUUUCCCCCUCUGCCCCUCUCCCCCGUGUUCUCGUGCUCUUUCUCUCUCUCAAAAAAAAAAAAAAAAAAAAAAAAAGUGUUCUGUGUGAGUAGUAAAGGAGACAUGCAGGGAAGAGAAGCACAGUAGGGAAAAACUGGGUUUUUCUUUCACCCCACAGGUGAAAAACUAGUUUUUUUCCAUGUAUGCCUGCCAAUCAAGAUGGAAAUGUAAGAUUAUGCUGGAAACAUCACCAAAUGCCUACGUAUCAGGAAGUUGGCAAUUUCUUCAAUUAUCUUUUUUUCGCCUUUCAUAUGCCUUAUAAGAUGACAGACGGGUGGAAAUUUAAAUGUUCUCACUGGUAAAGGUCCUAGGACUUAAAUGUUAAACUACCUUCAGCCUGAGGAUGCUGUGGGACACUGAGGCUGGCCAGUUUGCAAGGAGUCAGCCUGAACCGAGAUGCAAUCCCCCACAGCCCAGCCCAGCCCUACCUUCCUGGAUGCUGUUCUGCAGGUGGUUGACAAUGGCCGCCAGGAUAGUGGAGAGACUCAUGACCUGGGCACACUGGGCGAGGCCGAGGGUGAAGAGCUCGUUCCAGCAGGCCCGCACCAGGCUGGUGUUGCAGUCCUGCCUGGGGACAGAGGUCAGAGUGGGUGUGGGUACAUGCUGGCAUUCUCCAGGGCCCAGUUUGCCCCAAACAGGUCGAUUCAGCAAGUGUUUCUUGAAGGUCUAUGGUAUGUUCAGGACCAUUCUCUGAAAACACCACUGUCUGUGUGAAUCUCUUAACUAAAGUCCCUCUGAGGAUAAACUAUUCUCUUAACAAAGACUCUUUAGACUUCAGUAAUGAGAAAUCUGAAUGGGUAUGACUAAACUGGCAUCUCCUACAGCCUUCUAAACUCACAGUGGCCCUGACAUGGCUGUCAGAAGAGGCUGCAGUGAUCCAAGGGCUAAGAGCUAAGGGGGUGGGAGACACACCCUGCAGACAGAGAACAGAGGGUCUGCAAACCCUGCAGGGGAGAAGCCGGCACUGGAGACAGGAAGAGGCCAGCCACGCCAGCCUUCAGCCCUGUCUUGGGUGAUUUAUACUCAGGACAGCAUGGCUACCAUGCUGCAAACAGUAUGACCCUAUCUGAGGAGCUCCUGCUACUUGUCUCAACAUUUCAGGAUGACUCCUGCCUUUUGCUCCACUCCAUCCCUGGCUCCCAGCACCAAGUCCUUGGCAUAUGGAGAAGACUGAUAAAAGUUUGAGUAACACCGAAAUAGUGGCAACCAUGGACCUCGGCUACCAGUCCACUUAGUAUGUUUAAUAAGAAAAUCAGGGUCACUUGAAUGAGAUCACAGGAACAAACUAGAAUGGCCCUCAGAUAUCUUCUGGGCCACUCCUAAUGAGGGGAGGGCUCUUGCUGAAAGAUAUGCACAGAGAGAAAAGGCCACUUACCCAAGUGCCUGAAAAGCUGGGAUUGACCUGGCCCAGUGCAUGGAGAGGAAAAGCAGGCGGGACGCUGACUCGCAGAUGUAGUGCACGUUGAGGUACUCUGGCAUUGGGCUGGGCAUGGUGAGCUGGAGAAGAAGAGGCACACAGCACAGGAGGUGACACAGAGACAGGUCAACAUGAAUCCCUGUCACGUUUCAACAACUGUGACACUUGAGUUGUGAUAAUCUCUAAUGCUGAAGCUCCUGUGCAGACCCAUCCUUAUGAAACCUGUGUCCUCUGCAGUGGGGGGCUGGCACCAACACCCUGUGGUCUCUUGCCCAAUGAACUCGGGUCUGAUGGCCCUCAGAAUGUGGUCAAUGAUGGUGACCUCCCAGCUCAAUCACACAAAGACAUACUUUUCAACUUUUGCCUCAAUUAAAUUGCUAUUUGUUCUAAAGCAAUUCCAUUUUGAGCUGGAGGUUAAAAUCUAAAUUGAAUCUGGGAACAGGGAUCAACUUCAUAGCUAGUGGGCAUUUGGUAGGUGGCCUCAGGGUGACAGUGAGUGAGAGCUGAAAAGAAACCCAUAUGGUGGGAGGACGAGAUCCCAUCAUCAGAAUGCUCAGGCCUGGGCUCCAGAGCUCCACUGUCCAGAAGGGGCAUUAAUGCCUUUGAUGCUGGAAUCCCACUGGUGACCUAUAUUCUUGGCACCAGUGGGCAACUAUGAGCAGGGACCCAGUCUUCCUAAGUGACUGGUCAGGCCUCUCUAGUCAAGAGCACUCGGGGAUAGGAAGACACGGUCUGUAGCCCUAGAAACUGAGGAGUGUCUUUUGGAAGCAAGGCCAUGGAGGAGCCUGUGGGGAAGACUAAUAGCUCUUCAAAGUUCUGUGGCUAGCGAUGGCAAGCGGUCAGGACCAGCGGCUAGGAAUGAAGGCUGGCUGCCUGCACGCUGAAGCAGACAAAGGUGCCUGACUGAGCCUGUGCUGGAGCUAGGCCAUCCUAGAAAAGGCAGAGCAGUCCAUUAAAAACCCUCGAGGGUCAGCACCUGGUCAACCCCUCUUGGCAAGGACAGGCCACACCUGCUUCAGGGCAAGUUACCUUGAAAGCCAAAUGAGCAAAACGGAGUGAAAAUGCUUUUUAAUGAGAAUACUGUUCUGGAACACCAGGUCUGGAUCAAAAGCCACAACAUGAAAAUGAGCUUGCUACAAGAUUUUGGUUUUACACUGCAGGCUGGGAGGCUGGGGCAUGUGGGUAGGCUGAAUGCACUCACCUUAAAUGUGACAUGAGUAUCUGAAAGGAGGGGCCCUUCGACCUCGAUGAUGGGUGUGGACUGGUCUCUGCUGAUGACGUGGAUGCCGCCUCCUCCACUGGCAUCUAUGCCGUCUGCUAGGCUCGGAGGUGAGGAGCUGUCUGUGGUAUUAAGUGCUUUAGCUAAGGUAUCAAAUGCCCUGUGAGCAAAAAUGAAGCAGUCAGUGGUGUGAAUCCACAGCUUUUAGGAGGAACAGAACUCUAGCUGAGACAUAAUCUAGAAAAACCAUGCAAUGGGGAAAAGAUCAUUAAAUUCUACCUGCUGGGGGAAGGGAUGACAAUGAAAGUUUCUGUGUACAGUCCAUACAUCAUCAUGGGCACUAAGCUAUAUAUUAUUUAUUUUAACACAUAAUUUCUAUUUUUCACACUACUCUCUAAGGUAGAACCCUCCCCAUUUUAUAGAUGUGAAAGCUGAGGCCUGGAGAUGUUACAUAACUCUUCUAAGACCAACCACCCAGUAAAUGGUGGAAACAGAAUUCUAUCCAACUCGAAUCCCAUCCUCUUUGCUAUCAGACUGCAAGAGAUCAUGAGGCCUGGGGCACUUGUGUGGCCUCCAGCUGUACAUCUGCCCAGCCUGGCAAGACAGGCAGGGGUGACCAGUCCCACAGGAAAGGAGCAAACACGAGAGCCUAUGGAGAAGAAACUCUCUGCAGCCGGUUACGGAUGUCCAGGGCCAGCUAAUGCUAGUAGCUAACACUCUGAUGGACUUAAGCUUUAGACUACUUGGAAAAAUAGGCUAAAACAGAAGUGGGAAAGGGGAUGAACUAUUAAUAUUUACUCAAAAUAACUAAUGCAAGGAACACCUGUCUAUUGAAGGGUUUUCCCUGCUUCCACUCAGUCACUCCAUUUCCUUUUUCAUUGUUUGGAAUGAAAAGCAACUUUGAUUGUUUUAUAUCAUGUAAUAUAAACGAAUCCUGGUUCCCAUAGUUAAAAUGUGAAGGAAGACAGAUGUGCAGGGACACUGUGACUUUACCAUCCUUGAUUAAAUACAGGGUGGGUGUCAAAAUGCUGCCGCCAGCCCUCACAAAACAGCAGUUAAGUGUGCACACUGGGCAGAGCCUCCACCCUCAUGGGAUCAUACCGAGUAAUCUCACUUGCGGACUGGUCCUCCGGCUGCAUUUCUGAAGCGUCACCAUUGUUAAGGGACUCACUCAAGUUGGCAAGGGAGGUUACUACAUUUGCCAGUGUGCCCAGAGCUCCCUGGCUUGUUUCUGCCUAUUAAACAAAAAACAAGAACAUUAAAGAUGAACACAAACACACACAUAAAAGACUCUCAGGCCAAUGAAGGUAUAAUGGUAGUUUAAAAACAGCAUCUAUGGGGUGUGAGCUCAGCAUGGCAGCAGGAGGGAAAACUUUUUGGUGAGGGGAGAGUCCGGCGUUUUGACUGCGAUGGUGGUUACACAAAUAUACAUAUAAUAAGGUAACAGAAAACAGACAAAUUAGACACUGCCAAAAUUUAAACUUCUGUGCUUCAAAAGAUAUUAAGAAAGUAAAUGGGGUGCCUAGCUGGCUCAGUUGGUGAAGCAUUGGCUCCUGACCUUGGAGUUGUGAGUUCGAGCCCAACGGUGGGUGUACAGAUUACUUAAAAAUAAAAGCUUAAAAAAAGAAAAAA